UUUUUUGACAAGUUCGUUUUUUGGCUAAGUUCUCAUUAUGAAAAAUAAAUGUCCAUGGAAGGUAUGCUGUACGGUUAAAUGAGCAAAAAUAUAGCGUCUGUUGGAAUUCAAUAAUAGUUCGUUGCACAAAGUUACUUUCUGGUAAGAAAUAAAUUUCCUAAUUGUAUUAGGAAGGCUGGUCUCGAUAUAUAUAUAAUGAUAUCAGGAAGGUUUAAAUUAUGUUAAAAGCUGUGAUGCCAAAAGUGUCUUCUCGGAUUUUUAUAUUUGAUUAUACUACAUUUCACUGUAAAUAUUGUUAAAUUUAAAUUGUGAUAUAUUUGUUCCAUGUUUUGUAGAGUUUUUACUGAAAAGAAGAUAAAAACUUUGGAUAUUU